rnacentral:lncRNA from 1 species
CUGAUUUGGUUUGUUCCAGAGUUUUCUGUAGGUAGAGCGUCUAGAGCCGACACGCAGCAUCACAGCCGAGUGAAGAUGGCGGCUCAGAGAGUGAUGCUGUCAACGAGAGUUUGAGUUCACCUCUCAUUUUUAAACUUCUUAAACCUUUGAGGAUCCCUUACGGAUAGCUGUGUCAAAGAAAACUAUAUCGGUCGCUGCUCCUGACCAUUUAACAAUGGAAACUCAUGUUCUUCCAGAGCCUCUUCAUUUCACAGCCCACACUGCACUUCUGUCAUUGUGAGAAAUUCAGUCUCAGGUCUUUGGCUCUGCUGAUAGACUCCCUCCAGUAAGGUGUCUGAACACACGCUGAGAUUCACACUUCCACCCAGGACAAAUCAACUAGUGCACUGAUUUAUCAAGACCAGCUGCAAGAAGUAAGUGUUUUUGUUGGUUGUUUUUUGAACUGAUCACUGAAAUAAUCCUGAAUUU